AAGGCCUUAGCUUAAUAAAAGUGUCUGAUUUGCAAUCAGGAGAUGCAAGUUAAUAUCUUGUAGGCCUUAAU
rnacentral:tRNA from 2 species